ensembl:lncRNA
AUUUUUCUGGUAGGACACCCUUUUCUUUUGUAGAGGGAGUGUUGAAAUAGCAGUGGUCCCUGGAGAAGAUGUGUUAAAACAUCUUCCAUAGAGGGAGAGUGUGUUGAAAUAGCAGUGAUCUCUAGUAGUUACUGUGUUGAAAUAGCAGUCUUCUACAGAAGAGACUGUGUUACAGAGGCUACAUUUCUUCACUCAAGAUAGAAGGAGGAGACCUUCAUCUUUACAAUCAGAUGGAGGCAGGGCUUUUUCCCAUCGAGCUACACUUCUGUGGAAUGAUGAUUAAGGUUAGAGACUCUUUCCAAACAUUUAAGUGUCUACUUGUCAUCUCUUCAGCAUGGCCUAUGAUUAAGUGCAUGGUGGGUGGAGUAACUUACUGCCUGUUGGGUCCACAGUGUCGCUGGACCCUCCUGUCUUAGCCCCAAGAUGUUUACGCUG